GGUGUGCGUAAGUUCUCCUGAGUGAGGCUCCAUCCCAGGGAGGGUGCAAGGCCCGUAUCGCGCGCAACUGGUACCGGUGUAAGUGUUCGGAGAGUCGCCUUGUUUGUGAGUACAAGGUGAAGUCGGUGGUAAACUCCAUCGAAGGCUAAAUAUGACCACGAGUCCGAUAGCGAACAAGUACCGUGAGGGAAAAUUGAAAAGCACUUUGAAGAGAGAGCGAAACAGUGCGUGAAACCGCUCAGAGGCAAGCAGAUGGGGCCUCGAAGGCAAAGCAGCGAAUUCAGCUGGUGGUCUGCGUGGCCGGCCGGUUUGGAGAUCUUAACGACUCUUGCCGGUUGCGUUCUGCGUGGGUGCCAGUGCACUUUCGUUGUUUGUACGCCACUGCCGUUGAGUGAGCAUCCGUCGGGCUGGCGUGUGAAGCCUUACUCCUGUUAAAGGGCGUAGGUGCUUACAGUCGGCUUUGUACGCGCGUUUGCACCUCAACCGGUCAUGUCAGCAUGUGCCAGCGUUUGCGUUGGGCCGGUGCGCUCUGUCGGUGGUCGUGGGAUGACGAGCUUGCUCGGCUCCUC
rnacentral:rRNA from 1 species